rnacentral:misc_RNA from 1 species
GGGGUCCGAGGCAAUAACAGGUCUU